rnacentral:rRNA from 1 species
GAUGAACGCUAGCUACAGGCUUAACACAUGCAAGUCGAGGGGCAGCACAGUGUAGCAAUACACGGGUGGCGACCGGCGCACGGGUGCGUAACACGUAUCCAAUCUGCCCGUUACUCGAGGAUAGCGUUCUGAAAGGAAGAUUAAUACUCGAUGGCAUGAAUUUCCGGCAUUGGCAAUACCUUAAAGAUUUAUCGGCCACGGAUGAGGAUGCGUACGAUUCGCUAGUUGGCGGGUUAACGGCCCACCAAGGCGACGAUCGUUAGGGGUUCUGAGAGGAAGCUCCCCCACACUGGAACUGAGACACGGUCCAGACUCCUACGGGAGGCAGCAGUGAGGAAUAUUGGUCAAUGGUCGAGAGACUGAACCAGCCAAGUAGCGUGAAGGAUGACUGCCCUAUGGGUUGUAAACUUCUUUUGUUUGGGAAUAAAGUCAGGUACGUGUACCUGUUUGUAUGUACCAUUCGAAUAAGCAUCGGCUAAUUCCGUGCCAGCCGCCGCUGUAAAAC